rnacentral:misc_RNA from 1 species
GAUGAAGAACGCAGCGAAAUGCGAUAAGUAAUGUGAAUUGCAGAAUUCAGUGAAUCAUCGAAUCUUUGAACGCACAUUGCGCCCAUCAGUAUUCUGUUGGGCAUGCCUGUCCGAGCGUCAUUUCAACCCUCAGGGCCCGUUCGCGGGAACUGGUGUUGGGGAUCGGCCUCCCCCCGGAGGCCGGCCCCGAAAUGCAGUGGCGGCUCUACCGCGAUCUCCUCUGUGUAGUAGCGAUACCUCGCAGCUGGAUAGUGGUGGUGCCACGCCGUAAAAUCCCAACUUUACCAAGGUUGACCUCGGAUCAGGUAGGAAUACCCGCUGACCUUAAGCAUAUCAAUAAGCGGAGGA